rnacentral:lncRNA from 1 species
CUGGUUUGCUGGCUCCAAAGCGGGAACAUCCUGGAGGAAAGGGAACAUUGUUCACCUCAUGGUGACCAUGAAGUAGAGAGAAGUUGCUAACUGAGAAAAGGCAUUGUUCUUUUUCACUGAGACCAUCUUCCAAAAUAAAUCCUUGCUUCUGAACACUUUUCUUCACCCUGUUGCAUUUGCUGAGAUACUUGGUGCCACAAAUGGCCGUACAGAAAGACUUUUCAGAUAGAUUUUGAUACUGGACCAACCAGACAGUCAUAAGGACCCCAUUACUGCUGAUGAAUGGGAUGAUGGUAUCUUCUGCUGGUGUGCAGAAACCUCACAAAUACUAGGAGGUUUCCUGCUAUGAGUCAGAACGGUGGAGGAAGAUGAAGUAUUAGCUUAUGUGUUAGUGAUAACACAGAAAAAUAUGUGGUCAUUCAUUUUAAGGAAAGAACAAACUGACUUGGAAAAGAAAAUGGCAUCCUUUAGUUAGCCAACUAUCAAGCCCAAAGAGUGCUGAGAGUUUCCGCAGAAGCACAGAGUGCUGCCUCCUGCCUCUGCCAUAGGACAUCUGCGAAAACCUAGGCCCAGGGGCUGAUUGUGCAUGCAGCCCAGCUACGAAGAGGAGCAUAUUCAGCCUCACAGGUCUCUGAUAUCAGAGUCAGGACCCAGAUAAAGAAACACUAGACCUUUACACAUGGGAUAGAUUAUUUAGAAGGACAGACAUGAUAGCCUUGAAUUCCAGAUUCCUCUGAACAACCAAAAGCAGCAGUGUCUGCUCCCUCCCUGGAAGAGAACAGCCCCCCUUGCCUGCAGACCCUGCAAAGGCCCCACUGGAUGGAGAAGCCUCGCCAGGUGUGUUUGUCCUAAAAUCUGCUUCUCCCUCCACAUAACCAACCAACAGAGGAGGCAAAUUAGAGGUUGGCUCAAUGUUUUUCUGCUGUCGCAUGACAGCCUGUCUAUAAAUAUAAGGACAGUGGUCAAGGAAAACCCUUCUGGCUGGCUGUUUUACAAUCAACCCACCUUAUAUCCAGAGAUAAAUGGCUUAGAUAUGGCUAAAUGUGAUCAUUUGGGCAGUGGUGAGUAGUUAGGUGGUCUCAGCCUUGGAGAAGACAAGACUGAAAGAGCAGAAACAAGAAAGUCUAAGGAAGAGCCAGAGAAACGGAUUUAUGGGAAUGAGUUGAAGUCAGAGAAUCGUCGUAUUUCACCUUACGUUAUUGUGUGCUAGAUACGAACCCUCCCAAAGGUGCAUGCAACAACCAAGAAGAUGGAAUGGCUUGUGUAAGCAUCAGCUGGCUACUUAGCUACCUGGUGAUGUUACAGUGGGGUCCUUAGAGAGACCCUGAUGGCAGGAAUGAUGACUCUGUCUGGGCUUCCUGUCGCUUGGGCUGUCCUAGCUGCUGCUACUGCCAGAAGCCCAGAGCACCUGCUGCAGUGCUGAGCAGAACCAGUGCUGAGCCGUUAGUGUGACUCUCCAUUGCGGGUCAUCCAGUCUCCUGAUUAGCAAGUUGAUUCCAUUAGACCCUGUGCACCUGAGAGAGCAACAAUUCAUCUUUCAGAAAUUGGCAGCUACUUCAGUUAAGAUUUUGCUUUUUCUGUCUACAGUUCUUCCACACCAACCCUUGAAGCUGUAUCUAAAUCCCAGCUGUGUUAUUCAUUAGCUAUGAUUUCAACUUCUUUUGAAUGUUUACAUUAUGAGAUUGAUGUGAAAAU